rnacentral:lncRNA from 1 species
UUUUCUUUAUCUCUCCCUCUUUUUGUUAUUCUUAAGUAAUUUACAUGAAAGAGCAGAAUAAAGAAUUAAUCUAAUAUGCUGCAUAUAAAUGUAUAUCAUGCAAACAGCAUUUUCAUUAUGCCCAAUGAUUCAUAGCUUAUCACAAGUUAUUUUGAAUUAGAGAUUUGAGGCAUAAACUUGUGUAUUUCAUGGUUAUGCAUUAUAUAGGAAAAAGUAAACUUCAAUUUAAUCAUACCAUGAAACAAUUAUCACUAGCAUGAGAAUGAAGCAUGAUAUCAAGAUGAUCAGCAAUUAAAGGUUUAAUCAUGCUACCAUAUAAUUUCAGACUAUUGAUUUUGCUCAACUAACUCACAAGAGAAGAGUUUAGAUUACCAGUACAUUUAGCAUUCUUCAAGCCAAAUACCUUUUAGAUUCUUUACACCCUUGGCUGAAGAAAAU